rnacentral:lncRNA from 1 species
UCUUAAAAAAUAUAAAAACUUCUCUACCAGUGGAUAAUAAACAUGCAAUGUGUAGAAAGUAGAUCUUUUAAGAUGCUGCAAUGAUAUUGAGCAAAACCAAUAUUUUAGAAGCUAAUCUAUAUACAAUUGAGCAACACAAUUUGUGCAAGUAAAACACACAAGAAGGAGUGCUACAAUUGCCAUAAGCUGUAAUGCCAUACAAUCAAUUUCUUCCAAUUUUUUGGUAGCCGGAUCAGCCAAUAUGUAUCUAUACUAUGUACUUUUUAUAAUUUUUUUUAUUUUUUCUUCUAGAAUAAGUAUUGUCAAAAUAUGCAAUCUAAUUGUCUGCCCUCACAUUCUUCCAUGGAAUUGCAAAGGAAAGCUGAAAUUUUAGCAAAGAGGUGUUAAUUUAUCAUAGCAUGCAUUAGCUAUGUGGCUUGACUUUUCUCUUGGAAAGCAUGAU